rnacentral:rRNA from 1 species
GGCUCAGGAACCGGACCUAAUCCUCGGGACCGUAAUCCUCCUCUUUGGAGGCNGAUGGAUAACUGUGGCAAUUCUAGAGCUAAUACAUGUGACACAAGCCGCGAUCGGUCGGCGCGCAGCCGUCGCUCUCGCCUUUACUGUGCGUGGGCAACCCGCGUCGAUCGUUCCGGGUCGCGGCGCUACAUAUUAGACUGAGACCGAUGCGCGUUCUUCCGUCCUCCCGUUUUGCUCGCGGGCCUCCCCCUGUCGCGACUCGUUUGCGGCAGGGGAACCCGUGUGGCGGGGCGGGGCUACUAUGGGCGGCGCGCUCCGCUUUGGUGACUCUGGAUAACUCACUGGUCGAUCGCACCGGCUUUCAUGCCUGGCGACGGGUCUCUCGAGGGUCCGCCCUAUCAACUGUCGACGGUCGGUUAAGUGCCUACCGUGGUUACUACGGGUAACGGGGAAUCGGGGUUCGAUUCCGGAGAGGGAGCAUGCGAAACGGCUACCACAUCCAAGGAAGGCAGCAGGCGCGCAAAUUACCCACUCCCGGCACGGGGAGGUAGUGACGAAAAAUAACGACGCGGGACUCUGUCGAGGCCCCGCGAUCGGAAUGAGUACACUUCAAAUCCGUUAACGAGGACCAACCGGAGGGCAAGUCUGGUGCCAGCAGCCGCGGUAAUUCCAGCUCCGGUAGCGUAUAUUAAAGUUGUUGCGGUUAAAAAGCUCGUAGUCCGAACUCGGGUUCGUGGUCGCUCGCGCGGCCCCGGGGCGGCGGCGCCAUCGUCCGUCGUUGACUUUGGUCGUCCGUUCGCAUUCCCGGCCCUUUCCGCCGGUGUCGACUGCCAUGUACAUCCGCCUCGCGGUCCUGCCGGCGGGAAUCUUUUGCGCGGUCGUCCGGGUUGUUGGGGGGUUGGCGUUUAUUUCGGGGGCGGUUCCGGCGGCGUCGCGGUUGGUCUCCGACCGGCAGCUUCGUCNCCUCGUCUCCUUCUUAUCGNCCUCUCUCCUCGCCUCACGUCGCCGUGCAAAGCUCUCGUCGUGCGCGCGUGUUUGCGGUCGGGCGGUUUCUCCUCCAAGGGUGCUCUUAACCGAGUGUCCGCGGCGGCCGGUACGUUCACUUUGAAAAAAUUAGAGUGCUCAGAGCGGGCUGUUCAAGCUUGCAUACGAUAAGCAUGGAAUGAUGGAAGAGGGCCUCGUCUACGUCUGUCGGUCUCCGUCUACGGCGAGGCAAUGAUCGAAGGGAGCGGUCGGGGCCACUCGUAUUGCGACGUUAGAGGUGAAAUUCUUGGAUCGUCGCAAGACGAACUGCAGCGAUGGCGUGUGGCAAGCACGUUUUCCUCGAUCAAGAGCGAAAGUCGGAGGUUCGAAGACGAUCAGAUACCGUCGUAGUUCCGACCGUAAACGAUGCCGACCGGCGAUCCGCCGGCGUUCGCUUCCAUGACCCGGCGGGUAGCCUGCGGGAAACCAGAGUUCGGUUCCGGGGGGAGUAUGGUUGCAAAGCUGAAACUUAAAGGAAUUGACGGAAGGGCACCACCAGGAGUGGAGCCUGCGGCUUAAUUUGACUCAACACGGGAAAACUCACCCGGUCCGGACACCGGUAGGAUUGACAGAUCGAUAGCUCUUUCUCGAUUCGGUGGGUGGUGGUGCAUGGCCGUUCUUAGUUGGUGGAGCGAUCCGUCUGGUUGAUUCCGAUAACGAACGAGACUCCGGCCUGCUAACUAGUGCGCCGAUGUGUGUGCGUUUUUCGCUACGGCGGGCUCGGGCCGUGCGUGUUCGGUCGCGCGUUUGUCUCGUGCGUUUCUUUCUCGCGUUUUCGUUUUUUCGUUCGGUGGGUUUUGGGGGGCGGCAGGCGUGUCGGGAGGGCNUCGGUCUUUUCUUCGCGUCGGUCGUUUCUCUUCCGCCGGGCGGGGGAGCGGGGUGCGGGUUGGGGGCGUCGAUGGCGGCGAGCGGUCGUGCGUGCGGUUUCCGCCGGGUCCGGGUCGGUUUUCUCACGCACUUCUUAGAGGGACGGGUGGCAGAAAGCCACACGAGGCGGAGCGAUAACAGGUCUGUGAUGCCCUUAGAUGUCCGGGGCCGCACGCGCGCUACACUGGAGGUAUCAGCGGGGACUUCGCCCCGGCCCGAGAGGGCUGGGAAACCUCUCAACCACCUCCCGUGAUAGGGAUCGGGGCCUGUAACCAACCCCGUGAACGAGGAAUUCCCGGUAGGCGCGGGUCAACAGCCCGCGUCGAUCACGUCCCUGCCCUUUGUACACACCGCCCGUCGCUACUACCGAUCGAACGGUCCGGUGAGGUCCUCGGAUCUGGCCGACGACGCCGCCGGGCUGCCUGGCGUCCUUUCGGGGUCGCUUGUGUCGCCUCGGCGUUCGACG